rnacentral:tRNA from 3 species
GGCCCCAUCGUCUAGAGGCCAAGGACGCUGCCCUCUCACGGCAGAAACCCGAGUUCGAAUCUCGGUGGGGCCA